CUUUAUGGUGGGCUGUGCGCGGGACACCUUCGGGUGUGCCGGGUGCCUUCUUUCCCGGUUGACCAACCUGUGCACAGUCCGCCACCUAU
rnacentral:antisense_RNA from 5 species